rnacentral:rRNA from 1 species
ACUACGGGAGGCAGCAGUGGGGAAUAUUGGGCAAUGGGCGCAAGCCUGACCCAGCAACGCCGCGUGAAGGAAGAAGGCUUUCGGGUUGUAAACUUCUUUUGUCAGGGACGAAGCAAGUGACGGUACCUGACGAAUAAGCCACGGCUAACUACGUGCCAGCAGCCGCGGUAAUACGUAGGUGGCAAGCGUUAUCCGGAUUUACUGGGUGUAAAGGGCGUGUAGGCGGGGAAGCAAGUCAGAUGUGAAAACCACGGGCUCAACCUGUGGCCUGCAUUUGAAACUGUUUUUCUUGAGUGCUGGAGAGGCAAUCGGAAUUCCGUGUGUAGCGGUGAAAUGCGUAGAUAUACGGAGGAACACCAGUGGCGAAGGCGGAUUGCUGGACAGUAACUGACGCUGAGGCGCGAAAGCGUGGGGAGCAAACAGGAUUAGAUACCCCGGUAGUC